AUUGAACGCUGGCGGCAGGCCUAACACAUGCAAGUCGAGCGGAUGAAGGGAGCUUGCUCCUGGAUUCAGCGGCGGACGGGUGAGUAAUGCCUAGGAAUCUGCCUGGUAGUGGGGGAUAACGUCCGGAAACGGGCGCUAGUACCGCAUACGUCCUGAGGGAGAAAGUGGGGGAUCUUCGGACCUCACGCUAUCAGAUGAGCCUAGGUCGGAUUAGCUAGUUGGUGGGGUAAAGGCCUACCAAGGCGACGAUCCGUAACUGGUCUGAGAGGAUGAUCAGUCACACUGGAAUUGAGACCCGGUCCAGACUCCUACGGGAGGCAGCAGUGGGGAAUAUUGGACAAUGGGCGAAAGCCUGCUCCAGCCAUGCCGCGUGUGUGAAGAAGGUCUUCGGACUGUAAAGCACUUUAAGUUGGGAGGAAGGGCAGUAAGUUAAUACCUUGCUGUUUUGACGUUACCAACAGAAUAAGCACCGGCUAACUUCGUG
rnacentral:rRNA from 1 species